rnacentral:rRNA from 1 species
UACAGAGGUCUCGAGCGUUAGGCGGAAUCACUGGGCUUAAAGCGUGUGUAGGCGGAUCGUUAAGUACCUUGUGAAAUCCCACGGCUUAACCGUGGAACUGCUUGGUAUACUGGCGGUCUUGAGCCAGCUAGGGGCUACCGGAACAAAUGGUGGAGCGGUGAAAUGCGUAGAUAUCAUUUGGAACGCCAAUGGUGAAAACAGCUCGCUGGGGGUGCACUGACACUGAGACACGAAAGCCAGGGGAGCGAACGGG